UACCCUCCGUGAAGCACCACCAUUUUUGUGGUGUCCGGAACGCUUUUGUCAGCUCUUGAAAAUCUGAGCGAAGCAGUAUAAGUUUCGUGGCAGGCCGUACCCAUAUUCGCAUCAGGUCUCCAAGGUGAACAGCAUUUGGCAAUUCAACAAUUUAGGUGAGGCCAAUCGGCAAAUUGGAUCCGUAACUUCGGGAGAAGGAU
rnacentral:ncRNA from 1 species